rnacentral:piRNA from 1 species
CUCCGCAGACUGCAGAAAACGCCG